rnacentral:rRNA from 1 species
GAUGAACGCUGGCGGCGUGCCUAAUACAUGCAAGUCGAGCGAACAGACGAUGCUCUUGCUCCUCUUACUUUUGCGGCGGUCGGGUGAGUAACACGUGUAUACCCUACCUAUAUGACUGGGAUAACUUCGGGAAACCGUAUCUAAUACCGUAUAAUAUAUUGAACCGCAUGGUUCAAUAGUUCAUGACGGUUUUGCUGUCUCUUAUAGAUGUUUCCUCGCCGCAUUAUCUAGUUGGUAAGGUAACGGCUUACCAAGGCAACGAUGCGUAGCCGACCUGAGAGGGUGAUAGGACACACUGGAACGGAGACAGGGACAAGAAUACUACGGGAGGCAGCAGUAGGGAAGCUGACGAAAGGGGCGAAAGCCUGACGGAGCAACGCCGAGUGAGUGAAGAAGGUCUUCGGAUCGUAAAAAUCUGUUAUUAGGGAAGAACAAAUGUGUAAGUAAAUAUGCACGUAUUGACGGUAACGAAUCAGAAAGCAACGGCUAACUACGUG